rnacentral:rRNA from 1 species
AACGAACGCUGGCGGCAGGCCUAACACAUGCAAGUCGAGCGCACCCUUCGGGGUGAGCGGCGGACGGGUGAGUAACGCGUGGGAACGUGCCCUUCUCUGCGGAAUAGCCUCGGGAAACUGAGAGUAAUACCGCAUACGCCCUUUGGGGGAAAGAUUUAUCGGAGAAGGAUCGGCCCGCGUUGGAUUAGGUAGUUGGUGGGGUAAUGGCCCACCAAGCCGACGAUCCAUAGCUGGUUUGAGAGGAUGAUCAGCCACACUGGGACUGAGACACGGCCCAGCCUCCUACGGGAGGCAGCAGUGGGGAAUCUUAGACAAUGGGGGCAACCCUGAUCUAGCCAUGCCGCGUGAGUGAUGAAGGCCUUAGGGUUGUAAAGCUCUUUCAGCUGGGAAGAUAAUGACGGUACCAGCAGAAGAAGCCCCGGCUAACUCCGUG